ACUCCUACGGGAGGCAGCAGUGGGGAAUCUUGGACAAUGGGGGCAACCCUGAUCCAGCCAUGCCGCGUGAGUGAUGAAGGCCUUAGGGUCGUAAAGCUCUUUCGCCUGUGAUGAUAAUGACAGUAGCAGGUAAAGAAACCCCGGCUAACUCCGUGCCAGCAGCCGCGGUAAUACGGAGGGGUUAGCGUUGUUCGGAAUUACUGGGCGUAAAGCGCGCGUAGGCGGAUUAGUCAGUUAGAGGUGAAAUCCCAGGGCUCAACCCUGGAACUGCCUUUAAUACUGCUAGUCUUGAGUUCGAGAGAGGUGAGUGGAAUUCCGAGUGUAGAGGUGAAAUUCGUAGAUAUUCGGAGGAACACCAGUGGCGAAGGCGGCUCACUGGCUCGAUACUGACGCUGAGGUGCGAAAGUGUGGGAGCAAACAGGAUUAGAUA
rnacentral:rRNA from 1 species